GCAACGAGCGCAACCCCUAUUGUUAGUUGCCAUCAUUCAGUUGGGCACUCUAGCGAGACUGCCGGUAAUAAACCCGGAGGAAGGUGGGAUGACGUCAAAUCAUCAUGCCCCUUAUGACCUGGGCUACACACGUGCUACAAUGGUUGGUACAACGAGUUGCGAGUCGGUGACGGCGAGCUAAUCUCUUAAAGCCAAUCUCAGUUCGGAUUGUAGGCUGCAACUCGCCUACAUGAAGUCGGAAUCGCUAGUAAUCGCGGAUCAGCACGCCGCGGUGAAUACGUUCCCGGCCUU
rnacentral:rRNA from 1 species